rnacentral:lncRNA from 1 species
UAUUAAUCACAAAAUUAAUGAUCCAUUAAUUUGAUUAAUAUGCAUGUGUACUAGCUAGGGGGUAUGGAGUGCGACCACCAUCCCAUAUAUGUCCACUGCUUAACGAUCUUGUAAAUACAUCUCCAUUUGGUGUAUCUACUCAUCAAUUUCCUCCCUACAAUUAUAUAUUUAUUUAUUAAAGAUAUAUGUAAUUUAAAAAAAAUUAAACUAAAAAC